rnacentral:lncRNA from 1 species
UUUUUCUUUUUUUUUGACCACACCCAUGGCAUAUGGACGUUCCCAGGCCAGGGCUUGAACCAGAGCUGCAGCUGCAGCUUAACCCACCACGCCACAGCGGGAACUCUGAAAAACACACAUGAGCAGGAAGCCAGCAGAGCUGGGUGACUUUCUCUCCGAGUGCCGUGCCACCUCACACACAUCCGAUGGAAUGUAUUCCCUGCCCAUCACUGCCCCACCCUGUCACCACGUCCCAGACGCCAUGGACAGUUCAGGCUGUUGUCAAGGGCGGACAGAAAGCCAGACUCUAAGCUGCCGUGAAUCUACUAACACAAAUUCAGCCUUUUCCUGGCAACCCUUCCCCAGACAUCCCCCGUACUCAGAAGUGUUCACAUUUUAACCUGUCUCAGGUGCACAGGAGUGCCAGGGGAGAUAAGGAGCUGUGAAUAAUUAACUGAUAGCAAUAGCUGAAAAUUUCCCAGCACCACCACCCCCCACCCCCCGGCUCACAGGGAUUGCCUAUUCCCCCACCCUCCUCCACCUAGGGCUGCCAGAUUGAGCAAAAUGUUAAAAACACAGGGUGCCCAGUCUAAAUUUGAAUUUCAGGAGUUCCCAAGGGCUCAGCAGGUUAAGGAUCCCGCAGUGUCACUGCAGCAGCUUGGGUCGCUGCUGUGGCACAGGUUUGAUCCCCGACCCAGGAGAUUCUACAUACUCCAGGCAUGGCAAUGAAUGAAUGAAUUUGAGUUGCAAAUAAACAAAAUAAUCUUUUAAUAGAGCAUGUCCAUGUAAACAAAUUACUCAUUGUCCAUCUGAAAUUAAAAUUUAAUUGGGCCUCUUGUAUUUGGUCUGAUGCCCUCUUCCACCCACCACUCUCAAAGCCCACUCUUUCGGAAGGGGUUUCCACAGUGGCUCCCCAGGCACAGAGUUCUUUCCUUUUGACCACGGCCUUCCCUCUCCCCCAGUUCACACCCCCCACACCCCAAAGGGAAGCUAAGGACCAGAUAAGGACAGCAGCCAAGACAGCGGAGUAAAGAGACCCAGAGCUCAGCUCCUCUCAUGAACACAUCAAGGUCACAACCACCUGCAGAACAAAUACUGAUGAAAACGCCUGGAACCCACCAGAAAAGAUCUUCUACAGCCCAAGGCUUAAAGAAGGACCCACAACCUGGCCGUCAAAAGGGCAUACUCACGACAAAUCAAACCCCGUACCCACCCCAGCUGGGCGACCCACAAACCGGAGAAUAGCCAUAGCACAAAGCUUCUUCCAUAGGAGUCAGAGAUCUGAGCCCAUCGGGAUAACCAGCCCAGGGGCCUGGCACCUGGAAGAUGAGCCCCAAAAGCAUUUGGCUUUGAGGGCCCAGGAAGCUUGACUGCAGGAGCUCCACAGACCCAGGAGCAGGCUUAACAGGCACACAAAAUCCCACACACACCAGGGCCCAGGGCAGAGCAGUUACUUGAUAAAAGCCUGAGCCAGGCCUACCUGCUGGUCUUGCAGAGUCUCCUGGAGAGGGAGCUAUGGCUCGCCCUGGGGACACAGACACUGGCGGCAGCCAUCCCUGGGAGCUACUUCAACUGCGUGGACUCUUGCUCAGACGAUCCCAGGGCUGGUGGGAGCCGUCUGGAAAGUCUCCCUCCAGCUCAUUAGUCCAAUAGCCUGCAGGUGCAGCACUGAGACAGCUCAGGCCAAACAACCAAGUGGGUGGGGACCCAGCCCAAGCCAUCAGCAGACAGGCUGCCUAAAGGCCUCUGGAGCCCACAGCUGCCUCUAGACAAGGCCCUAAACAGGGCCCUGCCCACUGCAGGGCCAGGACCCAGCUCCACCCACCACUGGGCAGGCACCAGCCCUUCCCACCCAGAAGCCUGCACAGGCCUUUAGACCAGCCUCAGCUACCAAGGGGGCAGACACCAGGAGCAGAAAACUACCACCCCAACCUGCAAGCCGAGUUCCCCAACAGCCAGCCAGACCCCACCCUGGGACCAGCUGGACCCUGGCCCUGCCCACUAGCAGACCAAUGCAACCUUCAGGGCACUCCAGAGCACAUACCUAACUUUGUCAGGAAAAGCCCAGCUCCCAGAAAUCUGAAAUGAGCUCCAAGAUCCCUGGGCCCUGCAGCCAGACUCCAAGAUCCAGCUCUUCCUGACAGUAAUCCAGGGCUAGCCCCAGGAUCUGGCUUCACCUGCCAGUGGGUGGGCAGCAGCCCCAGCAUCUUUGAGACCCUACCUCCACCCAUCAGUAAGACAGCACCAACUCCUGGAACUCUUGGAUUCCAUAACCAGCUGCCUCAUGACCAAACCCUGCUAGGCAACAGCUAGCAACAUCCACACAAGGCAAGUCCUGUCAAGCAACCAGACUAUGGGCCAACCAAGCCUGCCAGAUCGCCCCAUGGUGGGCCUGCCACAACAGAAGAACCACGCAGCCCUCUGAGAGGGAACCCCUAGCGCACAGAGCUUGGGUGACGAGAGGGGAGAGCCCUGCUGGCACACACAGGACGCCUCCUAAAGAGGGCCACCUCUCCAAGGUCGAGAAACCUAACUAACCCACGCCAGGCGUAAAAAUGCAAAUCACACCUGAGACUGAGGGGGGAAGGAACCUGUCCCAGAUGAAGGAAGAAGAUAAAAGCAGAAGAACGAAGUGAGGUGGAGAUUGGCAGAAUCCACCCCAAAAAGAGCUCAGAGCAGCGAUGAUAAAGCCGACCUAAGAGCUCCAGAGGGGAGAGGACGCACAGAGCGAGGAGCCAGACGUUCUCAACACGGAGUUAGAAGAUAUAAAGAACCCAAGCAGAGAGGAAGAAUACAAACCUGAAAGGAAAAACACCCUAGAGGAAAUCUGUGUAGACCAAACGAUUCCGAGGAUCCGACCCAGGAGCUGGAGGACCGAGUAGCGGAAGUCGCUGCCCCUCGACAGAGAAAAGGGCCCCGGGGGGACUGCAUCAGCCCAGCCUCUCUUUGCACCUGGAAUCGCUGCUCCCUCUGACCACCAGGUCCUGCACGCAGGGGUCUCAGUGCUUCUCCCUCUUACCCAGCCCCUAGGGCGUCCCGGCAUCACACACACUGUUUCCGCACACAGAUCUGUAGGACACGAGAUUUGGUCUGCUCAGAAUCCUUUCCUUCCGGGACCUACUCGUCCACUUCCUGUGUUUCAAGAGCUGCUGGUCCUUUCUCACGCCACCCUUGGGAUGUGGCCAUGAGACUUCACCCUAGCCAGUCAGAGGAAUUCAUCUUCCAGACCCCAGAGUUUUUGUUUUGUUUUUGUUUUUGUUUUGUUUUUGUCUUUCGAGGGCCGCACCUGCGGCAUAUGGAGGUUCCCAGGCUAGGGGUCUAAUCGGAGCUGUAGCCACUGGCCUAUGUCACAGCCACAGCAACACCAGAUCUGAGCCGUGUCUGCGACCUACACCACAGCUCUCAGAAACGCCGGAUCCUUAAACCACUGAGCAAGGCCAGGGAUCGAACCCGCAACCUCAUGGUUCCUAGUAAGAUUCGUUUCUUCUGCACCACGACGGGAACUCCCAGACCCAAGAGAUUGUUCAAAGCUUGACACAGGCUCAGGGUCAGGUCAGAGCCCUCUCCCAACUUCCCUGCAGGAGUUGUUAGUAAAGACUCCACCUUGCCUUUGGGAGCAUCGGCCGUAGGUAUGGUUCACGUUGACACCCCUUAUGGUCAUCUUCUCUGACACAUAGGGGCCCUCUCUGAAAUAAGAGCAAAAAGAAACUAUAAAAAGAGCCACAGAGAGGAGAGAGAGUGAAAACCCCGAUGACACUGUUAGAAAGAGCCAGGCAGACCUAACGAGAAAUGAGAAGAAAGAAAGAAGGAAAGAAGGAAGGAAGGAAGGAAGGAAGGAAGAAAGAAAGAAAGAAAAGAAAACAAAGAAAAAAGAAAAGAAAAGAAGGAAGGGGAGUCUCCUCGUGGUGCAGCAGGUUAAGGACCCAGCAUUGUCCCCGCAGGGGCUUGGGUGGCUGCUCUGGCUCGGGCCGGGUCCCUGGCCUAGGAGUGUCUGCAUGCCAUGGGUGUGUCCAAAAAGGAAAAAAUUAAAAAGGAGCAAAGAAUGUAGUGAGUCAUUCAAUUUUUGCUCAAACUAGUUUGAUGUGAAAGUGAAUCCUGAGUGAAAUUCCGUGUCUGACGUUCUCUUUAACAGGCCUCCCUUGGUCCUGUGAAAACCCGGCUGCGUGGCAGGGCAUCUGUUUCCCUGUUCCCCAAGUCUCUGUGACAUUCAGGAGUUGGUCUGCUGAGAACAUUCAAGUUCUUUUGGGGGCAACACAGCCCGGCUCUGGGGGUUCCGCCAGCCCAUCCGCCCUGCACACACUGCUCUUUGAGUCCACACACAGCCAUGCAGGUUCCUACACAGACGGCAGACGUACCCACAGUCCAUGUGCCCCGCAUGCUAUGUAGACAACUCCCAGACGUGGGGACACCAAGCUUCCUGUGUGAGGAAGAGUUCUAACCCUUACUGUCCUGGGGUCCCAACUGGAUCCCUCGAGGCUGGUCCCUUGUGUUCUGAUGGCUGACCACAGCCAGCAGAUUUCUGGAGCUGGUACAUGUGGAAUCAACUUGUGAGGAGACACAACUGCAAUGACAAAGUGUGAAAAGCAACAGGGGGUGUCUGCCACCUUUUUGUGGGCACCGAGGGGCCAAGGCAGCAUCAGGGCUCGGAGGCCCCGGAUGCUCACAGGGACAGCCGGGGGCGGGGGGCAGGUUUGUGGCACUUGCAGUGUCUGAGGACCGUGCUCUGCGGGCCGAGCGUGGGAGCGAAGCGGUCUCUGAGGAACCCCGAAACUGAUGGGGCUCCCGACUUAACUUCGAGGUCCCCAUCUGUAAAUGAGGGCUGGGAGCUGACCACACCUAUUCCUUUUUCCUUCCUUUCUCUACAGAAGGGACCAAAGCAGGAAAAAGAGGCUAUGAGUGAGCGCUUAGAACGGACCCAUCUUUCCAGAAAGAAAUGUCUGUUCACAGCACGGCUGGGGACACGAGUGACAGGCUAUUGCCAUAGCGCUACAUCAGGUCACAGCAGAGUGCCCAAGACCACGGUUCUGUGACAGGCCGGGGCUCCUCCCAGACAUGGAAAUCUGAGAAGUCUCUAGAAAGGUGGAUGCUACUCAUAGCUACUGCGUAUUUAAGCAGCAAUGAAUGGUUCACAGUCAGAGGGCCAUUCCGUUACUUCGGAGUCCAAUCCAUCCUUUCAGUGUUGACCCUGAUGUGCUUCCCAUUAGCCCAUCUUGCAGAAGGAGCACAAUCCACAUUUUAUUCUAUUAAGAACUUACUUUAUAGGAAAAACCUGUCAGAAUCACAAGCUUGGCGUAAUUGAUGUAAUGCAUAGAGGAGCUGCUGAAACAAGCCUCUACACCGCAGGAGGUUAUAAGCAGCCUGGGGCGGAGCGGGGGCAGGGCACUGCACACGUGACCUUGGCUGCUGAUGGCUGCGGUGGUUGCUCCCGGGGCCCAUCCCACGUGGCCGUCCUGCGUCUAGGUUCCAAGUCUUCCUUCGCUCUGCUCUCUAGUCGGCUUUCUGUUUGUCUUCUCCGCCUCCUGGUGUGAAUUCGUCUCCUAUCUCAACGCGCCCCUCCUUCCACCCUCUGCCUCCCCACCCCCAUCCUCACCCGCCUGACCCCCCAUCCUUGGCCGCACUUCUCGGCUCCCCAUCCCUCGCUCCUAACGGCCUUGUCCCCUAGGUCCUCUGUCCCUCUGCCUUUUCCACGUGAAGCCUUCUCUCGGAUCCCUGCCCUUAUGACUUUGGCCCAUAAUUAGACAUUUUGGCUCCUCUUUCUGCUGUCAGUGAAAAUUCAAUGGGCAACCAAGUUAAGAAGAAAAAGGGAAGGUUCUUUGAGUCCCACUCAAAUGAUAACCUGGGAGACAGCCUCUUCGAAGCCCUGAAGAUUUGCUCUGCCUGUUACAAGGUCAAAGGCACAGUCACAUACGCUUUGAGACAAAGGAUCAUGCAUCCAAAUGACAGACCGAUAUUUUAUUUUCUGAUUACCGUGUAGUUGACUUAGUGUUGUGUCCAUUUCUGCUGGACAGCAUGGAAGCCAGUCCUACAUAUACAUAGAUUCUUCGUCUCGUACUAUCUUCCGUCACGACAUACUGACACUGCACAGAAAGUUCACCAAAGAUGCACAGCAGGUCAGCAGGUACAAAGCGAGCAGUCAGGCCAGACGGGCUUAGGAGCCACUGCUACUCUUUUAAGGCGAUCUCAUCUUUGGGGAGCUCUGGUUACCGUGUGUGCACGUGGCAUGAAAGGGGGGACGCCAACACCAACACAGAGAGCGCAUUUCAUGUUUAAAUGUUCUUGUCCUGCCUUGAAAUACAAAUUCUGCUUCGUCAGGGUCCGUUAUUCCAGCUGGCAUUGACAGAAAAGGAGUUCCUUCUGCGGAAUUUCUUCUCGCUGCAACGCCACGUCUCCUACGUUACACAUCUGAACACCCUGCAUCAGACUCUCUUUGAGACUCCCAGGGGGAGACUCUCAAACCCCAGGUCCUGGAAUUCUUUACAGAUUCUCGUUGUUUUGAAAAUGCUUCAGAUCCUGCUUUAUCUGGAUCUGAAGGGGAAACUGAGGCAGAACGGCAGCUCCCAGUUUGAGGAGCUCUCUUUGAUGAAAA